AGGGCAAGUCUGGUGCCAGCAGCCGCGGUAAUUCCAGCUCCAAUAGCGUAUAUUAAAGUUGUUGCAGUUAAAAAGCUCGUAGUUGAAUUUCGGGGUUAGUAGGUUGGUCAUGCCUCAGGUAUGUACUGAUCUCACUGAUUCCUCCUUCCUGAUGAACCGUAAUGCCAUUAAUUUGGUGUUGCGGGGAAACUGGACUGUUACUUUGAAAAAAUUAGAGUGUUUAAAGCAGGCUAACGCUUGAAUACAUUAGCGUGGAAUAAUGAAAUAGGACGUUCGAUCCUAUUUUGUUGGUUUCUAGGAUUGACGUAAUGAUUAAUAGGGAUAGUUGGGGGCAUUAGUAUUCAAUUGUCAGAGGUGAAAUUCUUGGAUUUAUUGAAGACUAACUACUGCGAAAGCAUUUGCCAAGGAUGUUUUCAUUAAUCAAGAACGAAAGUUAGGGGAUCGAAGACGAUCAGAUACCGUCGUAGUCUUAGCCAUAAACUAUGCCGACUAGGGAUCGGAUGAUGUUAAUUUUUUAAUAACUCAUUCGGCGCCUUACGGGAA
rnacentral:rRNA from 1 species